CUGUCCUUGGAGUAACUUUUCCUGCUAAGGAAACGGAUUCGAGGAGAGACGCGGCCCGGUAGAUUUGACUACCGGGCCGCGUCUCUCCUUGCACGCGAGUGCAAGAAGCUGUAAAUGUUUACAGAGCAAAUCCGUCGUUAAAUCCGAUACGGGACAUUUCGGGUUUGCAGUUUCGGACGCUCUUCUAUUUGACUUGGGUUUAGCCGCGCGACGGGAUUUCAGCCAAUAUUAGACGGCUCGGGUUGUCGCGCGGUAUUACAUAUACCAACCGGUUUGCCAACCGCUAUCUUACAUGCCUCAAUGAAAUUACGCUGGUUUACGUACACACCCGCGCGAGAGAAUAACUAAAUACGUUAAUCAGGCAGGCCUACCCGAUAAAGGGGUAAUCUCUCCCGCUGUUUCGCCGUCGGCGAAUCGCGAAUUAUUUUCGCGCUGGUGACCUGCCAGCCUGCGAUCUAUUUUCGUGUAUCCAAAGGCAUCGCCCGUGGAUUUCAGAGCGGAGUUGCCGUAAAGUUAUGAAAGACGUAUUUCUCUCGAAAAACUUGCGGGCAUCGCGGCGGUAUAGACCUUUUCAAUGAAACUUCGGUGAAAAGAUGCUCGAGAGAAGGAGAGAGAGAGAGAGAGAGAGCGAGAGGCUUCUACGCAUUCCGUGGAAAAAUUCCGAGGCACGAAGUUGCUGAUUUUUCUUCUUGUGGAUUUCUCACCAGUCGGCGAGCUUGGAUAUAUAAUCUCUUCUACCGCAACGCGUGGGACGAAAGAUGCACACGAGAAAGAGAAAGAGAGAGAGAGAGAGAGAGAGAGAGAGAGAGAGGACUUGGAGAUUACAUCGAGCAUAAUAUGGCAACGACACGAGUCUUUCACACGCCCGCGAUGGAGAUUACGCGGGACAAUGGAAAAACAGCUAAACGACGAGUGCGGGCGCGUGCCACCGUCGCUCCGGCCGGAACGCGAAAACGGUCCAUCGCAGCAUCGUACUCGAGCGGAGUAGAGCGGCUCCUCGCGAGGACGAUACACGCUGCCUGACGGCCAUCGGGGGUGCAGCAACCCUCGGCCUCGGUCGCCAGGAACGGAUCUAUACCGAGGGUAGGAUGCCGUUUGUCGGGGCAACGAAUGUGCGAGCCAGUCAGCUAUCGGGGAAAACACGCGAGUCGAGGAGGCAGGAGGGAAAUUCUGGAGCGCGUGCAUGCCGUCGAUGACACCAGCGGAUGCACGGGCACCAUCGUUGUCAGAUGCAACGCAGAGGGAGAUUCUGCGUGCCGUGACGACGUGUACCGUGUAUAGUGCGUACGCGUACGGACCUGUGUGCGUAUACGCGUAAGUAACGUAAGGGGCGGUGGGAAAGGAAGACAGAGGCA
rnacentral:misc_RNA from 1 species